rnacentral:rRNA from 1 species
UAAUACGUAGGGGGCAAGCGUUGUCCGGAAUCAUUGGGCGUAAAGCGCGUGUAGGCGGUUCGAUAAGUCUGCUGUGAAAGUCCAGGGCUCAACCCUGGAAAGCCGGUGGAUACUGUCGGACUAGAGUGCGGAAGAGGCGAGUGGAAUUCCCGGUGUAGCGGUGAAAUGCGCAGAUAUCGGGAGGAACACCAAUUGCGAAGGCAGCUCGCUGGGACGUUACUGACGCUGAGACGCGAAAGCGUGGGGAGCAAACAGGAUUAGAUACCCUGGUAGUCCACGCUGUAAACGAUGGGCACUAGGUGUGGGGGGUGUCGACUCCCUCCGUGCCGAAGCUAACGCAUUAAGUGCCCCGCCUGGGGAGUACGGCCGCAAGGCUA